AAAAAAAAACUUUUGGUGCCGUCGUUAUUUACAGUGGGGUGGAGAGAGGAGGAAAAAUGUAGAAACUAGUACGCAUCCAACAGACCUAUGUACAAACCUAUGAUACAAAUACUGAGGGUGUCCAUGUCGAUGCCCAAAGCGCUAGCCACGCUUUCCAUGUCCAAGCCAAAAGACUUGAGCAGCUCGAUGAAGUCCAUUUCUUCGCCGGUGUAAGGAUCGUGAAGCUUGGGGCAAGAAUGGUUACACUGCGGCCAAGAGCACUUCUCAAGUCUUCUGUGGGCGCACCUGCGUCCGUUAGACCUCCUGCGUUUGAGGACGUUCGGUCUCGCGAUAAGGUCGUUUGAGAGACGAUGGAGGAG